AUUGAACGCUGGCGGCAGGCUUAACACAUGCAAGUCGAGCGCCCCGCAAGGGGAGCGGCAGACGGGUGAGUAACGCGUGGGAACGUACCCUUUGCUACGGAAUAGCUCCGGGAAACUGGAAUUAAUACCGUAUGUGCCCUACGGGGGAAAGAUUUAUCGGCAAAGGAUCGGCCCGCGUUGGAUUAGCUAGUUGGUGGGGUAAUGGCCUACCAAGGCGACGAUCCAUAGCUGGUCUGAGAGGAUGAUCAGCCACAUUGGGACUGAGACACGGCCCAAACUCCUACGGGAGGCAGCAGUGGGGAAUAUUGGACAAUGGGCGCAAGCCUGAUCCAGCAAUGCCGCGUGGAUGAAGAAGGUCUUCGGAUUGUAAAGUCCUUUCGACGGGGACGAUGAUGACGGUACCCGUAGAAGAAGCCCCGGCUAACUUCGUGCCAGCCGCCGCGGUAAGAC
rnacentral:rRNA from 1 species